UACGCUGGCGGCACGCCUAACACAUGCAAGUCGAACGAAGUAGCAAUACUUAGUGGCAGACGGGUGAGUAACAUGUGGGUAUCUACCCUUUGGCCUGGAAUAACACGAGGAAACUUGUGCUAAUACCGGAUAAGUCUUUACGGAGAAAGCUUUAUGCACCAUUGGAUGAGCCCGCACUUGAUUAGUUUGUUGGUAGGGUAAUGGCCUACCAAGACUAUGAUCAAUAGCUGAUUUGAGAGGAUGAUCAGCCACAUUGGGACUGAGACACGGCCCAAACUCCUACGGGAGGCAGCAGUGGGGAAUCUUGCACAAUGGAGGAAACUCUGAUGCAGCGAUGCCGCGUGAGUGAAGAAGGCCCUUGGGUUGUAAAGCUCUUUCGUCGGGGAAGAAAAUGACUGUACCCGAAUAAGAAGGUCCGG
rnacentral:rRNA from 1 species